AGAUGUCAAUUUUAGAGCCCUCUGCCACGCUACUCAAAUCUGAACUUGUUGCUCCCCAGGCCUUCUGACAGUUAUCAUCCUAGGCUUCCCCUUGCCUCAUCCUGAAGUCUCCUCCUUUCCUUCUCUCUUUUGAAUCCCUUGUUUCCAUGAGGCUUGUGUCCUUCUCCAUCUUCAGUGUACUCCUUAUUUUUAGUGAGAUACAUGCUCCAGUAACUUCUUCAGAAAGAGGGUCUCAAAUAGUACUAGUCCAUCUUCGCAAACAAUUGCCAUUUUGGCUAGGUAUAGAAUCCUAUCUUGGAGAUUUUUCUCUUUGCAAAGUUUUGGGAACUUCUCUGUUGGUUUUUAAAUUUCAAUGUCAUUGAGAUAUCCAAAACCAUCCUAAGUCCUGGUUCUUUAUAGAUAAAAUUCAUCUCCUUCCCAAUCACCAGACACUUUCAGGAUAUUAUUUUACUCAGAUACUCUGAAACGUCAUGAUGAUUUAUCUUGGUGUGAUCUCUUCUCAUUAGUUGUGCUGAGUGCUCAGUGGGCAUUUUUAUUAUUAACUCGUUUGUUCUCUUUUAUCUCCACACCUCUCGCUCAUCUCUGUGCCAUACAAACAACCAUUACUAUAUAAGCAAUGUAUACUUUUUACCUGAAUGAAUUUUUACAAACUGUACAUUAUGUAUGCAUGUAUUUUUUACGUGGAUGGUUUUAUAUUGUUUACUUCUUGUUUUCACUAAACUCAGUUUUUUAUGUGUUCACAUGGUCUUUGCUGCUCCAAACUGUCACAAACAAUUUCAUGUCUGCAUGGAACUACUCUCCUAGUUACGGAAACUCAGGUUUUCUCCAAGUCUCCACUAUCAAAAAUAAUGCUAGAAAGAAUAUCUUUGCACAUGUCUCACAAAUCUUUUAAUCUGGCAAUGUGAGCUUAGCGGUUCUAGGAACAUUUUGGCAUUUUUCUUUGUUAAUUUGUCCCCCCUCCAUUUCCCUAUUCUCUUUACAGAAUUCCUAUUAGUUGUAUGUUGAACCAAUCCUUGGAUCCUCUUAUAUUUGUUCUACUGUCUGGGUGAUUUCAUCAACUUUAUAUUCCAACUCUUAAGUAAUUUUUUAUUACAUUUUUAUAUUUUCUACAUUAAUUCAUUUUACAUUAACAUGAGUUUUAUAUUAAUUAUUUUACAUUAAUUUCCAAGAGUUCAUCUCAACUGCUAAAUGUUCUCUUUUUAAACAGCAAUCUGUUAAUCUGUGGAUAAUAAUUUCUCUUUGAUUUCUGUUGAUAUCAAUUAUACUUUUAAAAUGCUAUCUUUUGCUCCCUGCAUUAUGCAUCUUCCCUCACGUUCUUUUUUUUUUGCUAUUUAUUAUUUUUAUUUUGUCUUUUGUGUUGAACACUUUCUUUGAAUGCUAAUGAACACUAAUGUAUGUUCAGAUUUAAGAGCAAGGCACAAAAGGCUCAUGGGAAACUCCUGUGUGUAUGGUUGGGGCUUAUAGAAUGGUGAGUUUUGUAGUCAUUUGUUAGGGUGGUCACAGGAAACCAACACGGUGAGCCUCAGUGAAGGUGACAGGUGGGAACAUUUCUCUGGUUACCCUCAAAUAUCAGCAAACCAUUUCUCUGGUCACCCUCAAAUAUCAGGAAACCAAGGUCUUUUCUCCUCAGAUGGAUAGUUUCCCCACAGAGGAAUGCUGGGAACUCCACCAGAUUGCUAUGUUUCUGAGAGGCAAGCAGUAGAAGUGGGCAUGACAUUCAGUUUCUGGACUCCUAGCUUCACUACAAAAUAUCAACUCCACCCUCAGAGGCACCUGAUGUUCCUAUUCCAAGCUUCUCUGACUCAGCCUCUACAGAGAGGAAGUCUGACUGGCUGGGGUGGGGGCUGGGCAGGGCAGGUACCUGUGAGCACCUGGGGGAAGAGCUUGAAAGUAUGGGGGAGGAUGCAUCUAAAUGUGCCUUACAAGGACUUGUGAAAAUCCUCUUGUUUUAGCAUCCUGCACCACAGCUCUCAGACAAACCUGCUGCCUUAAUCCCUAAGCAUUUCUAGGGCUCUCAUUUUGCUUUUCUUACUGGCAUUCCUCAUUGUAGGUAACUGAACCUCAGGUUUCCUGCCACUAGAUCAGUUACCAUUGACUGUCUUCAAAACUAUGGUUGACAUCGCUCAUCUGUUUUCAUGUCCUCUCCUGUUCUCUUUGUCACUGUAUUCUUAUCAAAGGUUAUUUUCUGUGUUAGUGGAGACAACAAGAAAUGACCAACUUGGAGUUCCCAUCCUGGCUCAGCAAAAACAAAUCUAACUAGCAUCAUGAAGACGCAGGUUUGAUCCCUGGUCUCGCUCAGUGGGUUAUGGAUCUGGUGUUGCCAUGAGCUGUGGUGCAGGUUGCAGACGUGGCUUGCAUCUGGUGUUGCUGUGGCUACGGUGUAGGCCAGCAGCUGUCUCUCUGAUUCAACCCCUAGCCUGGGAACCUCUAUAGGCUGCAGGUGUGGCCCUAAAACAUCAAAAUAAAAAAAAAAGAAAUGACCAACUUGAUAAAAUCUGCUAUGUUUAAACAGAAGUACCACCUUAUAAAUUUCCAUUUUAAAAACGUCUACCAUUCAGACAAGAAAUUAUGUUCAGUUAUACUUAGAAAAAUCAAAGACCCUCUAAGACUCUGGUUUCAGCCCUCUUAUUUUAUCCUUUCAAUUCCCAAAGUGAAAUUUCCACUCAGGUUAAAUCAGGUUGCAUUAUAAUCUCUUCACUCCCCCUGACAAGUCCCAAUUCCUGUUUGCUUAUGUGACGCUCCCCCUUCCGGGAAUAUUAACUCCAUUGACAUAUUUUAUCCCAUGACAUAUUCUGUACCCCAAGCAAAAUCCUAAUCCCUUAGGAAACCAUUCCCGCUAACUUCAAACUAUAGAAAUCUGUCCUUUCCCCACACAAAGGAGCUGUAUCUUAUAUUAGUCAGUAAAAGAACUCCUGUUUCCUGUCUCAAGUGUUUGUGUUAUCUUCUCAGCAAAACAUAAGGUUCUUAAGAAACUGUGCCUUUUGCUUUUAUGUGUUCCUUGAAAUGUUGACCAUGACAUUGAACACUGAGUACUUGCUGAUGUACACUAAUUCAAGCCGUACACUAAUUCAAGCCACACAUAAGGAAUUUGAUGUUCAAUCCACAAUACAGGAAUAAUCUUCUAAGGGUAAAGCCUAAUUCUUAUUAAACUUCAUAUGCGGAACAACCAGCACAGUGUUUGACAGAGAAGGUCUCUGAUGAUUAAGUGACAGAAUGAAGGAAUAGAUGGAUAUAUGGACUCUCAUUAGAUACCAUGUUCAAUGCUGGACCGAUCUAAAGAUUUUUUAUCCUUUUUUAUUCUUAAGGAUAAUAAAGAUGAUUAAAAUGAUGGUUCACAACUGCAUUCCCAGUAUCUAGAGUAGCAUCUGGCACACAGGUUCCAUGAAUAAAUCUGCCAGGAGUCGCAAGCAUUCAUUUAGAGUUAGAAGGAAGAGGAGAGAGAAACAUCUGGCUUACCCGGAAAGCACUCCCAGGACUAGGUUGAGAACAAAGAAGGAUCCAAUGAUGAUGAGGGGAAUGAAGUACAGCCAAUUCCAGGUGGCUCCUAAGGCAUCAUUGGUCUGAAAGAAAGAAAGAAAUUGUUCCUCAAUACUCCAUCAAGACCAUCUGCCAAGAGAAGGCCUCCAUGCCUACGGCUUCACAUGUAGGGCAACGCAACACACCCAGUGCAAUACAGUUAAACAGCACCUCGCUUCACUCCCAGUUUGGUAUGGUUGUAGAUUAACUCAUAUUCUCCCAUGUACACUGUGAAGGGUACUGUCAGCCUCACAUAUCAUCCUAAUGUCCUCACUCAAUGAAUAACUGAAUCCAGAAGGUUCAAACGCUAUUCUAAGAUCAUUCUAAUAAUCACUGGUUUUACAGUGUUUAGCGAUGCGGGGUCCAAGCUUCUAUAACUCUUGAUUGGGCACAUUCUCAAGACAGAGGUAGGCUGUGUCCAUCACCUUAUGCUUUUUUUUUUUUUUUAAAGGGCCAUACCCUCAGCAUAUGGAAGUUCCAGGGUAGGGGUCCAAUCAAAGCCAUAGCUGCUGCCCUACACCACAGUCACAGAGACAUCAGAUCCGAGCUGCAUCUGUGACCUACCCAAAAGCUCAUGGCAAUGCUGGAUCCUUAACCCACUGAGCGAGGCCAGGGAUCGAACCCAUGUCCUCAUGGAUACUAGCUAGGUUUGUUACCGCUGAGCCACAACGGGAACUCCAUCACCUUAUUCUGCGGAUGCUAGCAAAGGCCUUGACAGGUUGCUUGGGAGAGAUUAGUAUUAUCACAUCCUGCUCAGCUCUUGACCCUGGGCUCUGGCUUUCUCUCUUCCAUCAUAGUCCAAUGUAUAGAGCUAGGCCUACCUGGCCCUGAGAAGGCUCUGGAAAAACAAGGAAUAAAUCUAGAUUUGAAGAGUGAUCCCUUGCUCACUCUCUAAUACUAACAUAUAGUGAACUAAAAGCUACAUGGAAAUACAUAGUCUGGAUUCUUAUACCACAAGUGAGAUGCAACCCCCUUGAAUGGUAGAGGGUCGAGGGAGGAUUAUACCACAGGCCUUAGCCAAAAACAAGCAACUCUUGGUAGGAUGUCUCAUUAGGACCUUGAAACAGUUGUGGAGCAUUCUGGAAAGUCCUCUCUAACACCUGAGCCUCUGGACCAAGCUUUGCCUUGACUCUCUCUCCCCAUGAUAUCAACGCCAAAUCUUCCUAAUUCAUCUAUUGAAUUGUCUCUUAUAUCACAGGGUUUUGAAAUCCCCACAAUCUCAACCCGCCCCCCACACACAAACUUUAAUACUUGUUUGAAACUUAACCAUCUCCCAAUUCACUGGAGAAACAAGGUCAUCCAAAUUAAAUAUCAUACCUAAAAUUCACAUGCUAAAUUAGUAAAAUGAAGAUCAGAACUCAAAAUAUCUUAUGGCAAAGUGCUUCUUGUCCCUAUGAUUUAUCAUUUUUCUCUCUCACUACUAACUUUACAAAUAUAUUUGGAUCGCCUUCCUGCUUCCCCUGGAUUUCUAUGACAUUCUAUCUUGGUUCCCACCUCCCCAAGUUGUCUCAUUUUCUCUCCACCUCAAAUUCAAAAAUGCUAGUCCAGAGAAUACAGUCUCCUGCUGGUCAGCUAUCUCUGUAUAGUAGGCAUGUCCAUGAAAACACAGCUUCUAAAGCAGCAACCUCUUCCACCAAACUUGUGUCUUUUUGUUCUUGCCCCUAUACUUUUUAGAGAGACAUGAUUGCAAACGAAGCAGAAUAAAAGUUAAAAACAAACACCUUCUUGAACAGAAUGAACUAAAGCAGAGAGUGGCCAAUUUCAGUGUAUAGAAUCUGGCUCUUUGGUUUAACCAAGUCUGGUGAGUCAAACGCAAGCAGGGAAGAUGCGAACCAGAGCUCAGGGAACACUGCUCCUGAUUAUCAGAAGGAAGAUGCAGAAGAACUGGAUGCCAUGGGCUGCACAGGGUUGGAAUGGACAUAGGAAGCUAUUUUUUUCUGAGAUGGUUGAGACAUGGUCUUUUAAUGAGCUGAAAGAUAGAUUGAAUGAUCCUUGUAUAACCUCUUCUGUCCUUACUCAUGACUGUAACUGCAACAUUCUGUCAAGACUGCUUAGCUCCAAUGGUUCACCACUGGUGGUCCAGAUCAGCCAACAGCACACACUCUAUGGCUUAGCCAGCUCUCCUUCUUAGCAUUCUCUGGCAGCAAGAACUGAGUUAUUCCCAGCACGCAGAUCAGAGCUCAGCUGCCAAUAAACAGGAACUGGUGUUGGCAAUGGCGAUGAGGACAUUGUGACUUUAAAGGCAUCUCUGGUCCCAAGAGCGACUGUGUUAUAUUUCGAGGAUGACUAGAGCAAUUUCAGUUGGGUGACUAUUUGCCAGGGAUGCUGUAGAGUGAAGAAUAUUCUCCAAAUUGUGUUCUUCGUAUCACUAGAGAUCUGUAAGAGGUUAAUGUGUUCCGUGGAAAAUGAGCUUCUGGAACCAAAAAACCCUGGGAAACAUGGCACAUUACAUUUCCCCUUAGCCGGUGAGAAGACCCACCAAAAAGGCACAUUAUUAACUCUAUUUACUCCACCAUGCCGUACACUUCCUUGAUGAUAAACCUCCUUUUCAAUGGAAAUCUAUGAACAUAUCAGGAAAUAACAGCCUGUGAAAUACAAGGAGACAAGGCCUCCUCUUCCAGGCCCAGAGUCUGGAAUGUGCUUCCCAGCUUUUCUCUAAGAUGCGGAUGAUGGAGAUUGUCUUUUUACUCAGCACACUGGGAGGUAUUUGGGUUUCUAUUUAAGCAACAUGAAGGCAAGAACCUU
ensembl:lncRNA